rnacentral:rRNA from 1 species
UACGAAGGGGGCUAGCGUUGCUCGGAAUCACUGGGCGUAAAGCGCGCGUAGGUGGGUCGUUAAGUCGGGGGUGAAAUCCUGGAGCUCAACUCCAGAACUGCCUUCGAUACUGGAGAGCUUGAGUCCGGGAGAGGUGAGUGGAACUGCGAGUGUAGAGGUGAAAUUCGUAGAGAUUCGCAAGAACACCAGUGGCGAAGGCGGCUCACUGGCCCGGUACUGACGCUGAGGUGCGAAAGCGUGGGGAGCAAACAGG